UGAGGGCCCGGCUUGGACCCAAGACAUCUGUCGGCCCAAUCAUACAUGAGCCACCGGAGGACGAGGUAGUGGAGCCGGUUCGAGUGCUGGCGAAGCGCAGAAUACGAGUAGAAGGACGACUGGAAAUCCAGAUACUAGUGGAGUGGCUGGGGAGAGCAGCAGACCAGGCCACAUGGGAGUUUGAGACUGAGAUACUUGAUCGUUUCCCUGACUUCCGACCUUGAGGACAAGGUUAAGGGAAGCGUGGUGGAGUGAUGCGGUUGGAUCUACUAGACCGCCUCGGACUUAAUCAUUUGGUUAUUUUUGCUUUUGAGUCCUUGAUGUUAAUUUCAUUUCAGCAUAGCCUUGCUCGGGUUAGCCGACUUGGCCUUUAUUAGAGUCGCUUUGGGUUUAGUUGCUUCUUGAAUUCAAUUAGAUCAAGUCAAGUUAAGGGGUCCGGUAGCCACCUAUAAAUAGAUUUGGUGAGCACCUAUUUCAGGAUGCAAAAAUUAAUUGAAAGGCUUUUGCCCUAGCUCUCUUCCCUUCUCUCUUCUCUUCUUGCGACGCCUUCCCCCUCU
rnacentral:lncRNA from 1 species